UAGGGAAUAUUGGACAAUGGGCGCAAGCCUGAUCCAGCCAUCCCGCGUGAAGGAUUAAGGCCCUAUGGGUUGUAAACUUCUUUUCUCUGGGAAUAAAAACCGGUAUUCAUACUGGCUUGAAGGUACCAGAGGAAUAAGCACCGGCUAACUCCGUGCCAGCAGCCGCGGUAAUACGGAGGGUGCAAGCGUUAUCCGGAUUCACUGGGUUUAAAGGGAGCGUAGGUGGCUUUGUAAGUCAGUGGUGAAAUAUUGCGGCUCAACCGCAAAACUGCCAUUGAUACUGCUUAGCUUGAAUCACGUCGAGGUGGAUGGAAUAAUACAUGUAGCGGUGAAAUGCUUAGAUAUGUAGUAGAACACCGAUUGCGAAGGCAGUUCACUAGGCGUGUAUUGACACUGAGGCUCGAAAGCGUGGGGAUCAAACAG
rnacentral:rRNA from 1 species